rnacentral:rRNA from 1 species
UACGGGGGGGGCAAGCGUUGUUCGGAAUUACUGGGCGUAAAGGGCUCGUAGGUGGCCAACUAAGUCAGACGUGAAAUCCCUCGGCUUAACCGGGGAACUGCGUCUGAUACUGGAUGGCUUGAGUUUGGGAGAGGGACGCGGAAUUCCAGGUGUAGCGGUGAAAUGCGUAGAUAUCUGAAGGAACACCGGUGGCGAAGGCGGCGUCCUGGACCAACACUGACACUGAGGAGCGAAAGCCAGGGGAGCAAACGGG